GCACGGUGGCACACGCCUAUAGUCCCAGCCACUCCAGAGGCUAAGGCAGGAGGAUCACUUGAGCCCAGGAGUUCAGGUUCAGCCUGGGCAACAUAGUGAGACAGACAGACACAGAACACGAUGGACAGCUCUGUGUUCAUGGAACUGCAUUAUGGGAGUGGAGUGGGAGGCAAACAGUCAACAUAAAUAUAUUGCCCAGGAGGUGUUUCCCACAUCAGAUAUGGAAAUUUUCAUCUGGAUUAACGUGGUCAUAUGACACAGCCAUGACCUACCCUUGCGUCCUGCUCCACCGACCAAGAAAUAGGCACCAGCCUAUGGGCACGCAGAGACUCUGGGAUAAGGCUUACGACACCCGAUACCUCACUAAGUUGUUGUGUGAUCACUGUUUAAGGAACUUUGCUGUGAACGUGUUGUUGUUUCCAAAGUAAUGGCUCCAUCAGCUGUUUGCAUUACAUUGAAAUAAGCUUUUGACCACAUCCAAGGUAACAUUGGAUCACAUUGAAUAAUUAUCACAUGAUGCCUAUCGGACUCCGAAGAAGAGCUUAGCGAUUUCCUCCUGUUAGCAUUUAGUGACCUUAAGACUCAAAGAAAAAUGGACAUCAGGGUUAGGUUCUCUGCUGUUCAUGGCUUCCUCCCCUUUGGAUUUCCUCUCCUAAUCAUGGCAAGGGAUCUUUUCCAGGGUGCUGGUUUGGCCAAGCAAGCUGGGAUGCCUCUUGCUGAGGGCUGCAUUCCUGCCUCUGCUGGGGAAUCCAUGGAGGGAGCUGUUCUUCGUCUUUGUAUUUACCUGCCACCAAAGCACAUCUUGAUUUUGAAUUUAGGGAUUGUUUUCUUCCUGUCCUUAUGCUGACAGGUAUGCAUAUGCAUUGUGAAUUUACCUACAGAAAUAGAGCACUGCUGGGUAGAAUGUUAAUUUUGUUCUUAUAAGGACUUGUGUAUGUUUUUUUAAUUUGCCAGCACUUGAGGUUUUAAUUAAUUUUUAGAAAACAUACUCUCUUGCUUUCCCAUCUCAUCUAGUAAGCUGUUUUGCAACAUAGCAGACUAUAUUCUAUAUUGAAGUAGGCAACUAAAAAAUAAUACUUUUUAAAAAAGUAAGGAUUCACUUUACAUUGACUACAUUUCAGUUCAUUCCAAUAAAAGUUUUUUUGAGGUGGGUUUUUUUGUUUUGUUUUUUUUUUUUAAGUUAUGAUUGAAUCACUUUGCCUUUAAGGUGGUGUGGAAGUAAUUUAAUUAUAUUCAGAACUCGGGCAGGAAACAUUUGCAAGUCUAAUAUUUGUUGGAUUCCUAAAGAAACAGAAUGCUCCAGAUCAGUUUCCUGUAUUUUUGUCUAUCUAAUCUAAGAGUCACAGGUACUGUUUCCUGCAUUUAACAGUGUCAGACAUGUAGUGCCAAACCCAGGAAUCUUGCUGGCGUUAGGUUUUUGAUUUCAAAAUUAAGGAACAGAUUCUAUGGCUUACAUUUGUAUAAGAAGUUUAGAAUAUCUUUAUUUUUCUUACAUUUUCUAAUAUGUAAUCAUUGUGCUGGUUCUUGUCUCCUUGAAUGAAUGCAGGGCAAUAAAUCUGUUUCAGAUGUUACAAACUUGAAAACCUGUAGAUAAUCCUCUAGUGUCUUCAGUAAUCCCUUUGUUCUGCUAUUGAAAUUACAUCAAUCUUCCAGGCCAAAACAUAUAUAUUAACUCGGUAUUAGGAAAACUUGAACAAAGGCGGAGUUGAGAGUACAAAUGAAUCACUGACUAAGUAAACUCUGCCAUCACUGUCCUUUCCAGAUUCUUUAUCAUCUCAUAGGAUGUAUUUUAGUGAUAAAUGAGCUUUGAAAUGUGAACCCUCAUUUUUGACAGAGAGGGCAGCAUUGCAUAUACAAAAACAGGAGAUUUGAGGCCAAACAGACCUGAGUUGGAAACCCAGUCCCAUCACUGACUAGCCAUGAACCUCAGUUUUCUCAUUUAUAAAAUGGGCCUAACACCAUCGAGUGUUGUAGCUGGUGUGUGUAAAGCAAGCAUGAAAGGCACAUUUUAGGCAUUAGAAAUGCUUGCUUCCUCUCUCCUGCCCAUUAAUCCAGGGUCUUCCUUUGAGAGGAGCAGCUCACAGGGACAUGGGUGCUGGAUGAGAUGAACCAGAGUGCGCAUAAUCUCAAACUUUGGGGUGUUUAUGUAGCCAUAGGACUUACCUCACCCCUAACUGGAUGCUUGUCUUGUUCCCUCGCAGGUCCUCGAGAGGUUGCAGCAAAGAGGAUUUGAAAUCGUGGGCUCCUGUGGGGGAGGAGUAGACUCGUCCCAGUUCAGCGAAUACGUCCUUCGGCGGGAACUGAGGCGGACGCCCCGUGUACCCUCCGUCAUCCGGAUAAAGCAAGAGCCUCUGGACUAAAUGGACAUAUUUCUUAUGCAAAAAGGAAAACACACACAACCAAUAACUCAAACAAAAAAGGGACAUUUAUGUGCAGUUGGGACAGCAAACCAAGUCCUGGACGUAAAAUCGAAUAAAAGACACAUUUAUAUCCAAUAGAGACCACACCUGUAUUCAUAUGGGAACAAUUGGAAUAGUGAUAUCCUCAAGGUGUAAAAAAUAUAUAAAUAUAUAUAUAUAUGUCAAAAGGUAGGAAAUGCAAAAAAGAAAAAAAAAAAAGGUGACAGCCGCAGUUGGUGCUGUGAUGGCCGUGAAGUGUCCUGGGCCUUCCGAGGCCUCUGACAAAUAAACAAGCCAUGAGUGGUGAGGACACAGUCUCCUUACAGUUUCCAUUGCCAACAACAGCCAUCCAUAUUUCUUUUUUCCUUUGUCUUUCUUUUUCCUUUUUUUUUAAAAAAACAAAACAAACAAAACACCUUGAAUCAAGUUUGUUUGUAUAUGGAGGUUCCACGUCUUUCUUUAGGCAGGGACCAGGCAGGACUUCAGAAAAACCCUCAUGAGCACAUUGCAAAGAUGUUAGACAUGAAAUUUUAAAUGUAGUUUGUACAGAAGUCACACUUUUUUGUCCACCUCACAGAUGUGAACUUUACUUUGUUUUAAAACUGAUCAGUUUUGCCAAGGGGCCAGAAUUAUUCCUUGUUAGAAUUGCUCCAGUUCAAGUCUGCUGCUUUCCUACAAUUUUUCAAAUUUUAUAAUGUAUUAAAUACAAUAAACUCUGUUUAAAAAAUAAGGUCUGUGUGAAACACACAUGUGGGGGUGAGGCUGGAUUAAAGUGAAAUUUUUUCUUUUUGAAAUUGUCCGUGUUGAGCAUCAAAAAGAGGCAUGAAAGCCGGGG
rnacentral:lncRNA from 1 species